rnacentral:misc_RNA from 1 species
GUCAAUACCCUGCAUCCUUUGUCAAUUUGAAGGCAUGCAUCAUGCAUGUUUGUAUUAAGUCGAUCCAUUAAACUUUCCUCGGUAACACGGUAAUCAACAUUUCCUGCUCUAUUUUUAACAUCAAUGAAGCUUUCCUUCUUGAUUAUUUCCAGAAAGUCCUUCCCCAAGCGCUCUGCUAUGCCUUUCUCAAGAUUAUAACGGCCUGACAAAUUGAUGACUGUGUGAACAUCAUGAUACUUAGAAGCAUAUAGAAGCACAACAUCCCCUCCUUUACUAUGUCCAAGGAC